CUUUACUGUAGUUUGACAGUGAUAUUCGGGCGAGCCUGUGUAGGAUAGGUGGGAGACUUUGAAGCGGGUGCGCUAGUGCUCGUGGAGUCGUCCUUGAAAUACCACCCUGGUUCGUUUGGAUAUCUAACCUAGACCCGUUAGCCGGGUCGGGGACAUUGUCUGAUGGGCAGUUUGACUGGGGCGGUCGCCUCCCAAAAAGUAACGGAGGCGCGCAAAGGUUCUCUCAGCCUGAUUGGAAACCAGGCGACGAGUGCAAUGGCAUAAGAGAGCUUAACUGCAAGACCGACGGGUCGAGCAGAUGGGAAACCAGGCCAUAGUGAUCCGGUGGCUCCGAGUGGAAGGGCCAUCGCUUAACGGAUAAAAGGUA
rnacentral:rRNA from 1 species